UGUUAGGUGGCUGAGUUAAAGCAGUAGACUGUAGAUCUAUUAAUGGAGUUAAUUCUCCCCAACAA
rnacentral:tRNA from 1 species